UUGGUUUCCAGGAAAUGACAUCAGGCGGCCGCGGAGAUGGAGGACGUGCUGGACCUAGGCGAGGAGCGGCGCCGCGGCUCGGCCACCUCCGGACCCAAGAUGGGUCGCCGAGCUCAACAGGAGUCAGCUCAAGUCGAGAAUCCUCUCAGUAGCAAGAACUCCUCUUCAAUUCCGACUGGAGAGGCUCCCCCUCCCAAACCGCCCCGCAGGCAUGGAGGCUGGGCAGAUGAUUCCAUGAAGGCUUCAAAGUAA